GAUGACACUUGUAUAGUCACGGUUGUACUCUAAAUUUUCAACCUGCCUAUCUUGUGCCAUAG
rnacentral:pre_miRNA from 1 species